UACGUAGGGUGCAAGCGUUAAUCGGAAUUACUGGGCGUAAAGCGUGCGCAGGCGGUUAUGUAAGACAGUUGUGAAAUCCCCGGGCUCAACCUGGGAAUUGCAUCUGUGACUGCAUAGCUAGAGUACGGUAGAGGGGGAUGGAAUUCCGCGUGUAGCAGUGAAAUGCGUAGAUAUGCGGAGGAACACCGAUGGCGAAGGCAAUCCCCUGGACCUGUACUG
rnacentral:rRNA from 1 species